AGUAACGGCGAGUGAAGCGGCAACAGCUCAAAUUUGAAAUCUGGCCCUCGGGUCCGAAUUGUAAUUUGUAGAGGAUGCUUUUGGUGAGGUACCUUCCGAGUUCCCUGGAACGGGACGCCAUAGAGGGUGAGAGCCCCGUCUGGUUGGAUACCGCUCCUCUGUAAAGCUCCUUCGACGAGUCGAGUUGUUUGGGA
rnacentral:rRNA from 1 species